UGUUUUGUUUUUCCUUCGUUACUUUUUUUUCUUGUGGUCUAAAGUAAGAGGACAAAAUGGUCGCUCUCUCCCCUCUAACCACUUUCCUCAAGUCUUGUAUAAAAACUUUCAGGAACAUGUCACCUAAUCUGGUCACUCUUAUGCCCACAAGGGGAAAAACUAAAUGACACUCAGGUGCUAACUGAUGUCAGUGAUGUUCCUGUUCAAAUGGAGUCGGAGAUGAGAGACUGAUGAAUGUCAUAAAUGAGUCUGUCAAGCUUGUGAUGGAACAGGUAGGUUGUAAUUUCUACAAGUUUCCAAUUGAAAAAACUGCUGCAACUAUUGAUCUUAGGGAAAAAGAAAAAAGCAAUUUUAGAAGAUUUCUGUGGAAAAACUACUACAAUUCUACUCUUCUGUUUCCAAACCUCUCCUUGUUCUGUUGGUAGAUUAAGUUGGGGGCACUGUUAAAUAAUUUGGUACACUUAUAGUCAUGCCCAGUUGACUGAAAACUGGGGAAAUUUCUCCUUUUUAAUCACUUUUUUGCUGCAGGCUUAUGGUUAUAUAUCACCAGUUUUGUACUUCUCUGUUUUUGUAGAGAUGAAUAUUAUGCUCGGCUAGCUUGAUAACUCUGAACUCUGAGACCACCUUUUGCCAUUUGCCUAGGUUAUUUUCUAAAGUGUUUUUUUUUUAAACCUGAAUUCACGAAAUUUCGA